UGGGGAAUUUUGGACAAUGGGCGAAAGCCUGAUCCAGCAAUGCCGCGUGUGUGAAGAAGGCCUUCGGGUUGUAAAGCACUUUUGUCCGGAAAGAAAUCCUUGGCUCUAAUACAGUCGGGGGAUGACGGUACCGGAAGAAUAAGCACCGGCUAACUACGUGCCAGCAGCCGCGGUAAUACGUAGGGUGCAAGCGUUAAUCGGAAUUACUGGGCGUAAAGCGUGCGCAGGCGGUUUGCUAAGACCGAUGUGGAAUCCCCGGGCUCAACCUGGGAACUGCAUUGGUGACUGGCAGGCUAGAGUAUGGCAGAGGGGGGUAGAAUUCCACGUGUAGCAGUGAAAUGCGUAGAGAUGUGGAGGAAUACCGAUGGCGAAGGCAGCCCCCUGGGCCAAUACUGACGCUCAUGCACGAAAGCGUGGGGAGCAAACAGGAUUAGAUACCCUGGUAGUCCAGCGCCCUAAACGAUGUCAACUAGUUGUUGGGGAUUCAUUUCCUUAGUAACGUAGCUAACGCGUGAAGUUGACCGCCUGGGGGGUACGGUCGCAAGAUUAAAACUCAAAUGAAUUGACGGGG
rnacentral:rRNA from 1 species